rnacentral:rRNA from 1 species
UACGAAGGGGGCUAGCGUUGCUCGGAAUCACUGGGCGUAAAGGGUGCGUAGGCGGGUCUUUUAAGUCAGGGGUGAAAUCCUGGAGCUCAACUCCAGAACUGCCUUUGAUACUGAGAAUCUUGAGUACGGGAGAGGUGAGUGGAACUGCGAGUGUAGAGGUGAAAUUCGUAGAUAUUCGCAAGAACACCAGUGGCGAAGGCGGCUCACUGGGUCAUUACUGACGCUGAGGCACGAAAGCGUGGGGAGCAAACAGG